rnacentral:misc_RNA from 1 species
CACACUUUUCGUGGGGGCUUUUGGAACUAUUUCAGUAUGGGAAUGGAUGCUCAAGUAUCAUAUGCCUUUCACUCUGAGAGGAAGCUACACCCAGAGAAAUUUAAAAACCAAUUAGUAAACCAGAGUACUUAUCUUACUUAAAGCUUGGAUGUACUCAAGGAUGGUUUUCUGCCUCUCUUCUUCAUUCUUUUUCACGGAACAUAGCACAGCUUACAAGGGUUAAAGUCAUGAAAAGCAAAGGCCAAUGGGAGGACCUUAAUAUUCCUAGCAGCAUCAGGUCCAUUGUUUGCCUCAACUUGCCCAGU